rnacentral:rRNA from 1 species
CAGUCGAGCGAGUCUGCCUUGAAGAUCGGAGUGCUUGCACUCUGUGAAACAAGAUACAGGCUAGCGGCGGACGGGUGAGUAACACGUGGGUAACCUGCCCAAGAGAUCGGGAUAACACCUGGAAACAGAUGCUAAUACCGGAUAACAACAGAUGAUGCCUAUCAACUGUUUAAAAGAUGGUUCUGCUAUCACUCUUGGAUGGACCUGCGGUGCAUUAGCUAGUUGGUAGGGUAACGGCCUACCAAGGCGAUGAUGCAUAGCCGAGUUGAGAGACUGAUCGGCCACAUUGGGACUGAGACACGGCCCAAACUCCUACGGGAGGCAGCAGUAGGGAAUCUUCCACAAUGGACGCAAGUCUGAUGGAGCAACGCCGCGUGAGUGAAGAAGGGUUUCGGCUCGUAAAGCUCUGUUGUUGGUGAAGAAGGACAGGGGUAGUAACUGGCCUUUGUUUGACGGUAAUCAAUUAGAAAGUCACGGCUAACUACGUGCCAGCAGCCGCGGUAAUACGUAGGUGGCAAGCGUUGUCCGGAUUUAUUGGGCGUAAAGCGAGUGCAGGCGGCUCGAUAAGUCUGAUGUGAAAGCCUUCGGCUCAACCGGAGAAUUGCAUCAGAAACUGUCGAGCUUGAGUACAGAAGAGGAGAGUGGAACUCCAUGUGUAGCGGUGAAAUGCGUAGAUAUAUGGAAGAACACCGGUGGCGAAGGCGGCUCUCUGGUCUGUUACUGACGCUGAGGCUCGAAAGCAUGGGUAGCGAACAGGAUUAGAUACCCUGGUAGUCCAUGCCGUANACGAUGAGUGCUAAGUGUUGGGAGGUUUCCGCCUCUCAGUGCUGCAGCUAACGCAUU